GGCUCUGAUAGAAUUCUAGACAAAAUGGCGGAUGUUGUUGAUUUGCGGCAGGGUCAGUGAUAAUCGGAGUUCACCUUUUCACUGAUUUACUGCAAGACAUUAUACAGAAAUAAUAUAAGACAAGUCAUAAUCGUUGUAUGGUGAGCUGCAAUGAAAGGCAAAGAAAGGUCACCGAUUAAAAAGCGUUCUCGGGCUUUGGAUGAUAUCCGAGACAGGGGAGGAGGCCACCCGCCCAGCAAGAAAAUGAGGGCUAUCUCGGUUUCCAGUGGGAGUAAUAAUGGAAAUAGCUCGACUAAAAGUGACGGAGGAUCUACAAGAAGGAGUUUGUUGGGUGACAAGAGAGGCCGGGAUUUUGAUGGACAUGUAUCGAGUCGAACCGGUGGGAGUAACCAUAGCUAUCCCGUUGCUGCUGCAACCUCUACCGGUAAGAACCACAACCUGGGUUUGACACUCGAUUUAGCCGCGGCAAGGACUAAUGCUCGCGGCGAGCGUGUUCCGCCUCCACCUAACAACAACGAGAGUGAGUACAAAACUCUCAAAAUCAGUGAACUGGGUACCCAGUUGAGCGAUGAAGACAUAGAAGAUGGACUUUUCCACGAAUUCAAAAAAUUCGGGGACGUGAGUGUCAAAAUAAGCCGCAGCAACGACGAGAGAAUUGCUUUUGUCAACUUCAGAAAGCCCGAGGAUGCCAGAGCUGCUAAACACGCACGGGGCAGGUUAGUACUUUAUGACCGACCUCUGAAAAUCGAUGCAGUGUACAUUAACAGGAGGAGAAGCCGUUCUCCAGUUGAGCGAGUUGACAGAGACCCAUAUGUUGGAGCCCCAGGCCACAGACACUUACACACCCAGAGACCCCUCUCCCCAUCUGUGCUUGGAUACAGAGACUACAGACUACAGCAGCUGGCCCUUGGGCGCCUCCCUCCUCCCCCACCCCCUCCUUUGCCCAGAGACCUAGAGCGGGAGAGGGAGUUUGCCCUGUUUGAAGCCAGGGUGCGCCCAGGUCCAGCUUUCAUUGCAGAGAGAGCUUCUGCUUUCCGCGAUGAGGAUUUUAUCUCCCCAGAGGAUGACCAAAGAGCUAACAGAACGCUGUUUCUGGGCAACUUGGACAUCACUGUCACAGAGACAGACCUGAGACGGGCCUUCGACAGGUUUGGGUUGAUAACAGAGGUGGAUAUUAAGCCCACACGAGGACAGACCAGCACAUACGGGUUCCUCAAGUUUGAGAAUCUCGACAUGGCCCACCGCGCCAAACUCACCAUGUCUGGGAAGAUAGUGGGUCGUAACCCCAUAAAGAUUGGCUAUGGUAAGGCCACCCCUACCACACGCCUAUGGGUGGGUGGGCUCGGACCCUGGGUCCCCCUAGCAGCAUUGGCCAGAGAGUUUGACCGCUUUGGUACAAUAAGGACCAUUGACUACAGAAAGGGGGACACCUGGGCUUACAUACAGUACGAGAGCCUUGACGCUGCUCAGGCUGCGUGCACUCACAUGCGUGGCUUCCCUCUGGGGGGGCCUGAGAGGAGACUCAGGGUGGACUUUGCAGACACAGAGCACCACUACCAGCAGCAGUUCCUUCAGCCUCUUCCUCUACCCUCCUUCGACAUGGUGGCAGAGGCUUUCAUCCACCGCGCCAUAGCUGAGCCCCCGAGGGACAGGACUCCACCACUGCUCCACUUCAGAGAGAGAGAACUGGGUUUCCCCGGGGCCGAGUGGCCCCCCAUCCCGGCUAUGCGUGAGCGAGUACGUCCCGGGACCUUUGAGCCGCUGGAGCGGGACCGGCGGCCGGGAGGGAGGGAACCCUGGUCUCUGGAGCGAGAGCUGGCGGGGCGCGGCUGUGACCCAAGACGGAAACGACACCUUAUGGAUGACGGUCGCCAUCUUGACGUCUCUCCUGACAGCACUGACCGCACGGCACGCCGACACCGAGGGGGUCCAACCCCAGAUGGUAGCCCCAACGGGGGCCGCUUCAGUGACUCAGAGCGUACCCCUCGUGGCGGCGACGACAGACCCUCCCCUGGACGAGACCGUCGCCUCAGUCUGGAGCAUCCUGGCGGGGGGGACAGGAGACUAAAGAGCCAGGGGAGUCUUGCCGAAAGAGGGGCCUCCAGCAGUGGCCUCUCAUCCUCAGCAGGGGAACGGAAACGUAAAGCCGGCGACAGCAGCAGCAAAGGACCCGGAGCUAAGAGGGAUCGCUCCUCAGACCAGGGCGGCUCUAAAGGCAGUCAGUCAUCCAAGCUGAGCCUGGCCUGGCACGGCAUGCUCCUCCUGAAGAACAGCAACUUCCCCGCCAACAUGCACCUCCUGGAGGGUCACCAGGGCGUGGCCAAGGACCUCCUCGUCGACGGCCCCACGGGGAGACAGGUUGGGGAGCUCAAGAUCACCCAGCGUCUCCGCCUCGACCAGCCCAAGCUGGACGAGGUCUCCAGACGCAUCAAAGCUGCCGGCCCCGGCGGCUACGCCGUCCUCCUGGCGGUUCCCGGUUCCGGCGGCGAGGAGGUGUCGUCGACGGACCCUGCAGCUUCAACACAGCGUCCUCUCCGAAAUCUGGUGUCCUACCUGAAACAGAAGCAGGCAGCCGGAGUCAUCAGCCUGCCUGUUGGAGGCAGCCGGGAUAAGGACCACCAGGGUGUUCUCCAUGCGUUCCCUCCCUGUGAGUUCUCACAGCAGUUCAUUGAUGCCUCGGCUAAAGCUCUGGCCAAAACCGACGAGGACUAUCUGGUGAUGGUCGUGGUGCGAGGUCCAUCAUAACUACAAUCAGAUAGAGGAAGCAAAACAUCAAUGAUAUUGUAAAAAAAGAAGAAGAAAAACGACUAUUGCAUGCUGUGUGUUGAGUUCUGCCUCAUGGGGUGCUACUAGAGAGUAGGGUUAUGGGGAGGAUAGGGAGGAUAGGCUAUGUCACUAUUUUUCCCACCAAAAUAAGUAUAAUAUGUCCCCUGAAAGUCAACAAAUGUGUAAUUUUGGAACCCUGUUUUAUAAAGGGUGUGAUCAUUUCUAGCCAGUAUUUGCAGAAACAAUUCUGCUGGAAUAUUAUAAAAGGGGGACAUUCUAUAAAUAAAAUGAAAAAUCUACUGUAAUUUAAAAUGAGGUAUAAUGGCCCCUUUUUUUGUUUUCAUUUAGGAAAACUUGAACCAACCGCUGUUUGUAAAAGUCUAAACUUCUCUCUUAAGAUUUGCUCUGCUGUUAGUGUUUGGUUGAAUUAUGUAUACGUUAUACUACUUUAUGCUUAUUACAAUCAGUUGGCGUCAUUUAAAGUUAAUUAUAUAUUUUUAGCAAAAUAGUCACCUCAAAACCCUUUGUUCACUAACCAUUUCUUUAUUCUAAAUGUCACAUUUUGAGAAAGAUAUCAUCAGGCCCUGUUUUGACUGGUAUGGUGAGGCUAUAAAUCAUUCUGUUUGGAUUUCUCAUAAAAAAAAUGAUUGGGGACAUUAAUGUUGGGAUAUGUCCUUACUGGCUUUCUCUAAUACAUGAACGUGUUCUAAACCUAGAAAUCUGAAUGUACCUAUAUGCACGGUAGGCUAUCUGGUGUUCGGUUACACCUGGUGUUUUACCCUGUGUAACUGGUUCGGUUACACCUGGUGUUUUACCCUGUGUAACUGGUUCGGUUACAACUGGUGUUUUACCCUGUGUAACUGGUUCGGUUACAACUGGUGUUUUACCCUGUGUAACUGGUUCGGUUACACCUGGUGUUUUACCCUGUGUAACUGGUUCGGUUACACCUGGUGUUUUACCCUGUGUAACUGGUUCGGUUACACCUGGUGUUUUACCCUGUGUAACUGGUUCGGUUACACCUGGUGUUUUACCCUGUGUAACUGGUUCGGUUACACCUGGUGUUUUACCCUGUGUAACUGGUUCGGUUACACCUGGUGUUUUACCCUGUGUAACUGGUUCGGUUACACCUGGUGUUUUACCCUGUGUAACUGGUUCGGUUACACCUGGUGUUUUACCCUGUGUAACUGGUUCGGUUACACCUGGUGUUUUACCCUGUGUAACUGGUUCGGUUACACCUGGUGUUUUACCCUGUGUAAUUGGUUCGGUUACACCUGAAAAUCCUGUGUGUUCAUGGAAUGGUUAAUGGAACACUACAAAGUGGAUUGUGACAAAAAUGUGUAAAGGAGGUUGAAACACCUAUACAUGGGUUUUAGUUGCUGAGUGUAAAUUCUUAACUUGGCUGUGGUGUAGCUUAAAUACAGUGUGUUCAAUCGGUUUUCAGAAGUGUUUUAAUGUUUAAGCGACUCUCCAGUAACAUUUGAACAUAUUGAGAGGCUGAAUGAGGAAUUUAGAAGUGAUUUUUGCCCAGCUGAUAUAGAUGGGUCCAUCAAUGCAAUGACGCGACAAACAUAUAGCCUACUAAGAGAGAUGCUACGGGUAGAUUUUAUUGUGUACAUUGUCUUUAGCACCACUUGACCCUUGGUAGUACGUUGUGACCUAUAACCUUUGACCUAUAAUGUGUGAUAAGAUUACACUAGCGAAAAAACUGACUUUUAUUUGUUGGUCCGGUUUCAUUCAAUCAAUAUGCUCUGUCGCCAAGUUUGUCUGAAAUAUGACAAUAUUUUAAUGCUAUUUGCUAACAAAUUAUAUACAGUAAACCUAAUAAUCAAUAAGUAAAAAGGUAUUCAAUAUAUAAACGGAUCAUUUAGUUUUUUGGGGGGGGGGAUUGUACGUUUUAUAAGUUGUAGUGCUAUUAUUUUGUAGGAUUUAUUUUUAUUUUUUUAACCACAGUUUUCCCCUUUGUCAGCCAACAGUUAUAUUUUUAAGACUUAUAUUUAUAGCCUACUGUUGGUACCAUUAUAUGACUGUUUUAAGAUGAGGUAGGGUUUAUUUUUUAUCUGUUGACGACAAAAUUGUCUGAGAAGAAAAAGAUGUAUUUGUCUCCCAAGUUCACUGCCUCAACUGUGGACUUUUUUAAAUGUCUUUAAAACCUUUACAGGAAUCUCUGAAGAGAAGGAAACUACUUAGUAUUUGUUAAAUUUUCACUGAGAAGGCAGCUUUUAAGUUGUGGUGUAAUUUUGUGUUGUUUAAAGUGGAAUAAUUAGGACCCUCUCGCUUUGUUCUUGUGUACCUGAUUUCAUUGGGAAGACAAGAAAUGGAAAAUCCUCUUCCCACACUCGUCUUACUGCCAAGUUGUUUAAACACUCAAAGAGAGAGUGCAUUUACGCACUUAUUAGUCCUCUAAAUAUCAAUAAAUUGUUUCAUUUGAGGGAAACCUGUUUCUGCCCUGGAAAUGAAUUGAACAGAGGGAACUGCUCUGACUACCACGUCUAUUGUGUUCCCAAACAGGAAAUGGUUUAUCACUUUGAAUUGUUGCACAAGAGAAGGGAACCAAACACCUCUUUGCUGAUUGUUAGAGACUGAUGAUCGCCUGUGUGUGUUCUCUUAUACACACCUUUUUAGGAGCUGUUGGUAAUCUGUUUAGCUAACAGGCGCUGUUCAGAAGUUGUUGCUAAUUAAUAGCAUACCUUUUGAACCCAGUACUUUUUUUUUUUUUUUUUACCCCUCCAGGGCCGGGCUCCUCGUGUUAGUCCUACUGCCCUAGCAGGUGAACCCAGUACACAGUGGGGCAGGAAUCACAGGAUCAAUGGAGGAGCCUCCCACUGUGCCCACUGUGUCCGUGUCCUGCUGGUUUUCAACCACCAGCCCAUGUCCUGCUGCUCAGCUGUGUGGAACAGUGGCAGGCUGACACACUAGUGCAGUAUGUGGGAGAAUGGAGCUGGAAUACAGUAGCAGCUCCUUUUCAUUUCAUUGUCCUCUACAAGGUUUGAGUCUUCACAGGCUGGAUUUGCCGCAUGCCCCCAUGUCUUUCACUGUUGUCUUCUACAAUGCUGGUCUGUUUGAGUUGACCACAGCCUGGGGUGUGUCUGUGGCUCCGCCUUGUCCACGGUUCCCUACACAAGCAGAGGUCCUGUCACCGGCUGCCACGCAUAAUGCACCUCUUUGGGUGCAGUUUCUUAACUCGCACAGCAGCUCUACAGUACCACUGCAAGCUGUUGCACUGCUGAGGGAGUCACCUUGACCUGUGACCUUUUCCAAGUGACCUGUCAACAUCUCCCAGAAGAAUGAUUAUUUGUUGCCAUCAUAAUUUAGAUUUCUUCAGUUUAUGAUUUGACUCCCAUGUAUGCAGUGAAUGGAUGGAAGAUCGCCCCCAUGUCAUGAAUAGGAAUAUUGUUUAUUGUCGCUGUGCUUUUAUUGAUUGAAUCUUUUUCCUGAAAGAGGAUCAGGAGUAUGUUUGUUCUGCUACGGUUUCCCACGACGACCGCAGAAUAACAUCCGACAUCAUCAACUUCACAUUUCACGUGAACAAGGGGAAUUUAAACAGAAAAGAUCAAGUGAGUAGUUUGACUCAACAUUUCCACGUCGUGAAAGGAUCCAUAUAUAUAUAUUUUUAAUUUGUUUUUAUUUUGUGACAGUUCAACCAAAAGGCCUCUUAUCCAAAUGAAGAAAUAUUUCAUAUUUAUCCCCUAUAGCUCCUACCCAGUACGAGUGCAUCACGGCCUCCCCUCAGUACAAGUGCAAUAAUAGCAGAGAUUAAAUCCCACCUGCCGUUGUUGCUGAGAAAAAAAGACAUUGCCACUGGAGAAAUGACCUCUAGAGGAUCAUGGAGGAACUGCGGGACCAGAGGACGCUGCUGUAGAUACUGUAAGAGCCAUAGGUAGCCACUACACUACACUGAUGGCAUGGAGAGAGACAGCUUGUUGCUGUCACUCCCUGUUGGGGAAUAAGGAGAGGGGAGUCUGCUGCCUGGCCUUUAUUAUAAAUCUGGAAGAAGCAGAGGUAUGUAUAUUUAAUUUAUUCUACCUUUAUUUAAACAGGAAGACACAGAUUAAAAAUCUCUUUUACAAGAGAGCCCUGUAUACAUUACAAUAAAAACAGAAUGAUAACACAACAUACACAUAUGUAUAUAAAAACCUAAUUCAGUACACAAUAACAAAAUACACAUAUUUAAUACAAGCAAUCACAAGCAACUACAUAGAGGUUCUACAUCAAUAAUUUAAACUGAGUGGCCACAGCACAACUAACUGCAGUGAACUCUGCAGAUUGUUCCACAAAUUAAGUGCAACAAAAUG